ensembl:lncRNA
CUUUCUCUACUUUUUGAAAAUUUGAGGUAAAAGUUAUACUUUCUAGUGCCUUUAAUUAGUCUGUGAUAUGAAUUAAAAUGCACAUAGUGACCAGAGAAGCAGCCCGUAAGACUUGGCAUUCCAUUGCCCUGACUUUGUGUUAUAAAUAACCAAACACGGCUGGUAUUCAUGACAUGUGAACACCUGGCACAACUUAUUCGUGACCACUGUCAAUGCAGUGUUUCUAAUUAGAUGGAGCUCUUUCUACAAGUUGUGGCACGUCCCAGUAGAGAAAGUCUUUUGCCAAGCAGGUGGGAUUAGCCCUGAGCUAACUACCGCCAAUCCUCCUCCUGUUUGCUGAGGAAGAGUGGCCCUGAGCUAACAUCCGUGUCCAUCUUCCUCUACUUUAUAUGUGGGAUGCCUACCACAGCAUGGCUUUUGCCAAGCGGUGCCAUGUCUGCACCUGGGAUCCGAACUGGUGAACCCCCCGCUGCGGAGAAGCAGAACGUGCUCACUUAACUGCACCACCAGAGCAAAUGGUGCCGGAUUGCCUCUUUGUCACUCAGGGAAGCCAUUUGAUCUUUGGACUCAGGCUGAGUGCUUCUUUCUAGUAUGUUCUUUAUACACCAGACCUCUGCCGAAUAAUGGAGUUCCAGAGCUGGAAGAGAUCCUCAGAUGUCAUGAAGUCAUCCACUGCCUCCCAGCAAGUUUCAUUUGGAUGGUCUGUUCAGAUUGUCUGUUCCCAGUUGUGGGCUGGGCAAGGAGCAUCCACAGGGUACUGAAGAACAAUAGGAAUGUUCCUAUGUUCAUCAUCAUACUGAUAAACGUGCUAAAAAACCAAGAGUGGAUUCCUAUAAGUGAGAUUAUUGGGUCAAAAGAAUUUUCAGAAUGCAUAAAGAUAUUUGCACCCCUAUGUUCAUGGCAGCAUUAUCCACAAUAGCCAAGACUUGGAAACAACCUAAGUGCCCAUCGAUGGAUGAAUGGAUAAAGAAGAUGUGGUAUACAUACACAAUGGAAUACUACUCAGCCAUAAAAAAAAGAUGAAAUCUUGCCAUUUGCAACAUCAUGGAUGGACCUUGAGGGUGUUAUGCUAAGUGAAAUAAGUCAGACAGGGAAAGUACUGUAUGAUUUCACUCCUAAGUAUAAGAUAAAAACAACAACAAUAACAACAAACAAACACACAGAUACAGAGAUUAAGUUGGUGGUUACCAGAAGGAAAGGGGAGAAGGAGGAGGAAGAAAGGGAUGAUAGGACACAUGUGUAUGAUGAUGGAUGGUAACUAGUCUUUGGGUAGUGAACAUGAUGUAGUCUACGCAGAAAUUGAAAUAUAGUGAAAUUUAUAUAGUAUUAUAAAAAAAUGUUUCCCCAAUAAAAAAGAAAAAAGAAUUUUUGGGUCUCUGCUCCGGAUUGUGAUUGACUUUUCAUAUUUGUAUCUGUUUUUUGGAAUCAAGGUAUAUCUGUAUCAUGAAAUAAGUAGAUUUGUGUGUAGAUUCUGUUCUCUUUUUUUCUAUUCUCUGUAUGAUUUUAGAAUUGUCUAUUCCUUGAAGGUAUGGUAGAACUCCUCUAAAAAACUGUUUGGUCCUCAUGUUUUUUAAUGGGUAUCUUUUAAGUACUGAUUCAAUUAUCU